rnacentral:rRNA from 1 species
GACGAACGCUGGCGGCGUGCCUAAUACAUGCAAGUUGAGCGAUGAAGAUUGGUGCUUGCACCAAUUUGAAGAGCAGCGAACGGGUGAGUAACGCGUGGGGAAUCUGCCUUUGAGCGGGGGACAACAUUUGGAAACGAAUGCUAAUACCGCAUAACAACUUUAAACAUAAGUUUUAAGUUUGAAAGAUGCAAUUGCAUCACUCAAAGAUGAUCCCGCGUUGUAUUAGCUAGUUGGUGAGGUAAAGGCUCACCAAGGCGAUGAUACAUAGCCGACCUGAGAGGGGGAUCGGACACAGUGGGACUGAGACACGGCCCAAACUCCUACGGGAGGCAGCAGUAGGGAAUCUUCGGCAAUGGACGAAAGGCUGACCGAGCAACGCCGCGGGAGUGAAGAAGGUUUUCGGAUCGUAAAACUCUGUUGGUAGAGAAGAACGUUGGUGAGAGUGGAAAGCUCAUCAAGUGACGGUAACUACCCAGAAAGGGACGGCUAACUACGUG